rnacentral:rRNA from 1 species
CCUACGGGCGGCAGCAGUGAGGAAUAUUGGUCAAUGGGCGCGAGCCUGAACCAGCCAAGUAGCGUGAAGGAUGACUGCCCUACGGGUUGUAAACUUCGUUUAUAAAGGAAUAAAGUGAGGCACGUGUGCCUUUUUGUAUGUACGUUAUGAAUAAGGAUCGGCUAACUCCGUGCCAGCAGCCGCGGUAAUACGGAGGAGCCGAGCGUUAUCCGGAUUUAGUGGGUUUAAAGGGAGCGUAGAUGGGUUGUUAAGUCAGUUUUGAAAGUUUGCGGCGCAACCGUAAAAUUGCAAUUGAUACUGGCAGUCUUGAGUACAUUUGCGGUAGGCGGACUUC